CAAACAAUUGAGAAGUUACGCCAUCAUUGUCGCCAAAGAGCACCUACGAGGAUGUUCUCCUUCCAAAUCUCUCUCUCGAUUGAUUUCAUCUCCACUAGGAUUUGUUAAAAACCCUAUCUUCCCCCACUCUCCACUUUGGGCGCAAGAUGCCAAGAGACGCCCAACCAAUUCCCCGGCCAUGGAUCCUGGAACUCGUUCCGCUUCUUGUUGUCAUUCUCAUAGCUGCCCACGUCUUUGCUUUGGUUUAUUGGAUAUAUCGGUUAGUCACUGAUAGGCAGCCCCAAAGGAGCAAGGCGCAUUAGGGUUUGUUGUCUACUAUAAGCAUUUUCCCAUCGGUGCAUGUCCCAAGGCGAUUGUUGCUUGUUAGUCCUAGAAUCCAGUGAAUGAAGAAGAAGACCUUGGAUUUCAAGUGGGAUCUUUCAUGAUUGUUGUACAGCUUUUGCGUUUUAGGGGCUGUUUGGUAUCCUAUUUUAGGCAGGGUUUAAGCUAGAUUUAGCUUAAAUAUUGCCAAUCAGAAUUUUGGUGAUUUUAGAUGAUAAUAUUGCUUAAAUGUUGAAACAAAUCAUGUAACAGUUUGUCAUGAUUUAACAAAAUUUAACAGUUGCAUUGCAAAAGAGUUUUCAUGUUUUAAUCUUGUCAAAAUGUAUUAAAUUUUACUUUAUGGGAUCUAUUAUUUUUUUUUGGGAAA